UAAAACUUUGGGGGUUACAAAUUUUUUUUUAUAUUAAUACCUCUUUAAAAUCUUUAAAAAUCCAUUUAAAUUCCAACAGUCCCCUACAAGUUUCAAAACUUUAUAAAAUCAUAUACAAAUUUAUAUAUAUAAAAAUUCGGGCAACUUUAUACUAUGCAAUGGGUGCAGGUGUCUUUCGGACUUGAACCUACACUUAGUGUUGACAGUUCUAACCUGAAGGAUCAUAGUGAACUAAGUCUUGAACUAGACCCUUUGGACUAGAUUUUAACAUGCCACACAUAUAGUAUUGAUAUAGACUUGGUGCAGGUUAGCGCUAUUUAUGGGCAUGCGCUGAAUCUUGAUUCUCAUGAGAGUUAUUAGAGAACAGCCCAAUUCUCACAGUCGCAGCCUCACGACAACUCUCAUUUAGGUGAGUCCUCCAAAAAUACAUGCGACCUGUAUCCUGCAGGAGUAUGCCUGCCUCGGGCUCAUUCAGGGUAACACCCUUCCUUAACGUCACAUAUCAAAGCACUAUUGCCAUAGGGAUGAGCAGGAGACUCUCUCCUUAAAAGUAGUGCUGAAAUGAGUCACGCAAUAUGGAUUGUUUCUACCCAUUGAACCUUCUUCAUGGAAUCUCCAAUCACAAAGGUUGGGUUACCUUCAUAGGUGACUCCCUUAUGGGCUUAAGCCCAUCCCCCUCGACAAGUCAAUGACAACUCUCUUAGAAAGAGCUUUG
rnacentral:lncRNA from 1 species